rnacentral:tRNA from 1 species
GGAGGGUUGGCAGAAUUUAGGGUAUUGCGCGGCACUCGAAAUGCCGUGGGGAGAUAUUUCCCCUUGCAGGUUCGAGUCCUGCACCCUCCGCAA